rnacentral:rRNA from 2 species
GGCGAGGGCAGCUUAAUAAUGCUAGUCGAGCGGACUUGUUAGAAGCUUGCUUCUAACAGUUAGCGGGCGUGACGGGUGAGUAACACGUGGGUAACCUGCCUGUAAGAUGGGGAUAACUCCGGGAAACCGGAGCUAAUACCGAAUAACACUUUCGCUCGCAUGAGCGGAUGUUAAAAGACGGUUUCGGCUGUCACUUACAGAUGGACCCGCGGCGCAUUAGCUAGUUGGUGAGGUAACGGCUCACCAAGGCGACGAUGCGUAGCCGACCUGAGAGGGUGAUCGGCCACACUGGGACUGAGACACGGCCCAGACUCCUACGGGAGGCAGCAGUAGGGAAUCUUCCGCAAUGGACGAAAGUCUGACGGAGCAACGCCGCGUGAGUGAUGAAGGUUUUCGGAUCGUAAAACUCUGUUGUUAGGGAAGAACAAGUACGAGAGUAACUGCUCGUACCUUGACGGUACCUAACCAGAAAGCCACGGCUAACUACGUGCCAGCAGCCGCGGUAAUACGUAGGUGGCAAGCGUUGUCCGGAAUUAUUGGGCGUAAAGCGCGCGCAGGCGGUUCCUUAAGUCUGAUGUGAAAGCCCACGGCUCAACCGUGGAGGGUCAUUGGAAACUGGGGAACUUGAGUGCAGAAGAGGAAAGCGGAAUUCCACGUGUAGCGGUGAAAUGCGUAGAGAUGUGGAGGAACACCAGUGGCGAAGGCGGCUUUCUGGUCUGUAACUGACGCUGAGGCGCGAAAGCGUGGAGCCC